AUGACGAAGAAAAAUAAGACCUACUAUCUGCUGGAUGGGGAGGAGGAGCCUAUGAGGCCUAUACAUGGCAAUUGUAUUGGCAAGGUGAUGUUCUUAACGGCCGUUGCUAGGCCAAGGUGGGACCAUGAAGGAAAUGUGACCUUCUCUGGGAAAAUCGGUAUCUGGCCAUUCGUGAAAGAAGUUCCUGCUCAGAGGAGAAGUGAUAACAGGCCUAGAGGUACAAUAGAGACAAAGUCAAUAAAGGUCGACAGAAAAGUGAUGAGGGAGUUCCUGAUAGAGAAGGUCUUGCCAGCGAUACAAGCAGUUUGGCCUGAAAGUGAUGCUGGACAGACCAUCUACAUUCAGCAGGAUAAUGCUAAGCCCCAUAUCUUGCCAAAUGACCAGGAAUUUCUAGCAGCUGUCGCAAAAACUGGACUUGACAUCAGAAUAAUACAACAACCUGCCAACAUGUCAGUGUACAAAAGUAGGGGCUCUUCUUUUGACCCCUUUACUUGUGCACGGGCAGUCAGAGCCACGCGCCACGGCCACACUAAGCAGGGCAGAGGAGGGAAGCCGAAGAGAAGCCGGAGCACAAGACGGUCAAGGCAACGCCAAGACCAAGAACACAAAGGGCAGAGGGGCGAAGCAGGCUCCCCGGGAAUACCCUUGCCGGGGCAGCCUCAGCAGCCCGGCAAGAGCCUUGCCGGGGCAGCUCGCCCAACACCAGCGGAGUGA
rnacentral:rRNA from 1 species